UGAGCCGGCCGGGUGGCCGCGGCAUCGCCCCCACGGGGUGGCGCUGAGGAAGGUCGGGGCUCCGCAGGGAAGGAUGCUGGCUCGCAGCCAGUCGGGGCGACCCGCAGGAAAGUGCCACAGAGAACAGACCGCCGAUGGCCCCGACCUCCGUGUCGGGCGCACAGGUGAGGGUGAAACGGUGCGGUAAGAGCGCACCAGCGUCCGGGGCGACCCGGGCGGCUCGGCAAACCCCAUCCGGAGCAAGGCCAAGCGUGGAGAGGGCGUCCCGCCCGUCGACACUCCCGGGUGGGCCGCACAGAUGGAUGGCCACCCAUCCGGAACCCCGCAAGGGACCGGUGGACAGAACCCCGCCUACAGGCCGGCUCACCGU
rnacentral:RNase_P_RNA from 1 species